rnacentral:rRNA from 1 species
GGGUUGUGAGGUUAAGCGACUAAGCGUACACGGUGGAUGCCCUGGCAGUCAGAGGCGAUGAAGGACGUGCUAAUCUGCGAAAAGCGUCGGUAAGGUGAUAUGAACCGUUACAGCCGGCGAUGUCCGAAUGGGGAAACCCAGUGUGAUUCGUCACACUAUCGUUAACUGAAUACAUAGGUUAACGAGGCGAACCGGGGGAACUGAAACAUCUAAGUACCCCGAGGAAAAGAAAUCAACCGAGAUUCCCCCAGUAGCGGCGAGCGAACGGGGAGCAGCCCAGAGUCUGAAUCAGCUUGUGUGUUAGUGGAACGGUCUGGAAAGUCCGACGGUACAGGGUGAUAGUCCCGUACACCAAAAUGCACAGGUUGUGAACUCGAAGAGUAGGGCGGGACACGUGGUAUCCUGUCUGAAUAUGGGGGGACCAUCCUCCAAGGCUAAAUACUCCUGACUGACCGAUAGUGAACCAGUACCGUGAGGGAAAGGCGAAAAGAACCCCGGCGAGGGGAGUGAAAAAGAACCUGAAACCGUGUACGUACAAGCAGUGGGAGCACCUUCGGGUGUGACUGCGUACCUUUUGUAUAAUGGGUCAGCGACUUAUAUUCUGUAGCAAGGUUAACCGUAUAGGGGAGCCGCAGGGAAACCGAGUCUUAACUGGGCGUUAAGUUGCAGGGUAUAGACCCGAAACCCGGUGAUCUAGCCAUGGGCAGGUUGAAGGUUGGGUAACACUAACUGGAGGACCGAACCGACUAAUGUUGAAAAAUUAGCGGAUGACUUGUGGCUGGGGGUGAAAGGCCAAUCAAACCGGGAGAUAGCUGGUUCUCCCCGAAAGCUAUUUAGGUAGCGCCUCGUGAACUCAUCUUCGGGGGUAGAGCACUGUUUCGGCUAGGGGGUCAUCCCGACUUACCAACCCGAUGCAAACUACGAAUACCGAAGAAUGUUAUCACGGGAGACACACGGCGGGUGCUAACGUCCGUCGUGAAGAGGGAAACAACCCAGACCGCCAGCUAAGGUCCCAAAGUCAUGGUUAAGUGGGAAACGAUGUGGGAAGGCACAGACAGCCAGGAUGUUGGCUUAGAAGCAGCCAUCAUUUAAAGAAAGCGUAAUAGCUCACUGGUCGAGUCGGCCUGCGCGGAAGAUGUAACGGGGCUAAACCAUGCACCGAAGCUGCGGCAGCGACACUAUGUGUUGUUGGGUAGGGGAGCGUUCUGUAAGCCUGCGAAGGUGGCCUGUGAGGGCUGCUGGAGGUAUCAGAAGUGCGAAUGCUGACAUAAGUAACGAUAAAGCGGGUGAAAAGCCCGCUCGCCGGAAGACCAAGGGUUCCUGUCCAACGUUAAUCGGGGCAGGGUGAGUCGACCCCUAAGGCGAGGCCGAAAGGCGUAGUCGAUGGGAAACAGGUUAAUAUUCCUGUACUUGGUGUUACUGCGAAGGGGGGACGGAGAAGGCUAUGUUAGCCGGGCGACGGUUGUCCCGGUUUAAGCAUGUAGGCGGAGGUUCCAGGUAAAUCCGGUACCUUUUAACGCUGAGGUGUGAUGACGAGGCACUACGGUGCUGAAGUAACAAAUGCCCUGCUUCCAGGAAAAGCCUCUAAGCAUCAGGUAACAUUAAAUCGUACCCCAAACCGACACAGGUGGUCAGGUAGAGAAUACCAAGGCGCUUGAGAGAACUCGGGUGAAGGAACUAGGCAAAAUGGUGCCGUAACUUCGGGAGAAGGCACGCUGGUGUGUAGGUGAAGUCCCUGCGGAUGGAGCUGAGACCAGUCGAAGAUACCAGCUGGCUGCAACUGUUUAUUAAAAACACAGCACUGUGCAAACACGAAAGUGGACGUAUACGGUGUGACGCCUGCCCGGUGCCGGAAGGUUAAUUGAUGGGGUUAUCCGUAAGGAGAAGCUCUUGAUCGAAGCCCCGGUAAACGGCGGCCGUAACUAUAACGGUCCUAAGGUAGCGAAAUUCCUUGUCGGGUAAGUUCCGACCUGCACGAAUGGCGUAAUGAUGGCCAGGCUGUCUCCACCCGAGACUCAGUGAAAUUGAACUCGCUGUGAAGAUGCAGUGUACCCGCGGCAAGACGGAAAGACCCCGUGAACCUUUACUAUAGCUUGACACUGAACAUUGAGCCUUGAUGUGUAGGAUAGGUGGGAGGCUUUGAAGCGUGGACGCCAGUCUGCGUGGAGCCAACCUUGAAAUACCACCCUUUAAUGUUUGAUGUUCUAACGU